rnacentral:tRNA from 1 species
AUUUAAAUAGCUUAAGAAUAAUAAAAUGGAUUAUAUAUAUAUAUAUAUAUAUAUA